AAUAGAUACCCAGGUAGUCCAUGCCGUAAACGAUGUCUACUAGCCGUUGGGGCCCUUGAGGCUUUAGUGGCGCAGCUAACGCGAUAAGUAGACCGCCUGGGGAGUACGGUCGCAAGACUAAAACUCAAAUGAAUUGACGGGGGCCCGCACAAGCGGUGGAGCAUGUGGUUUAAUUCGAUGCAACGCGAAGAACCUUACCUGGCCUUGACAUACAGAGAACUUUCCAGAGAUGGAUUGGUGCCUUCGGGAACUCUGAUACAGGUGCUGCAUGGCUGUCGUCAGCUCGUGUCGUGAGAUGUUGGGUUAAGUCCCGCAACGAGCGCAACCCUUUUCCUUAUUUGCCAGCACUUCGGGUGGGAACUUUAAGGAUACUGCCAGUGACAAACUGGAGGAAGGCGGGGACGACGUCAAGUCAUCAUGGCCCUUACGGCCAGGGCUACACACGUGCUACAAUGGUCGGUACAAAGGGUUGCUACUGCGCGAGCAGAUGCUAAUCUCAAAAACGCCGAUCGUAGUCCGGAUCGC
rnacentral:rRNA from 1 species